CUCAUUAUAACAGUUACAAUUUAUUUAGUGGUUGAAUUUUACAUGGAUAACUGUAGUAAUUCUAGAGCUAAUACAUGAGAAGAGAUCGGACUCUACGGAACGAUCGCACUUAUUAGAUACAAAACCAUCGUAACCCACGGUUACUAGUAAAGGGUGAUUCAUUAUAAAUGUGUAGACUGUCGCAGGACAGUGUACUAUUCAAAUUUCUGACCUAUCAGCUCUCGAUGGUAAGAUAGAGGCUUACCAUGGCAUUGACGGGUAACGGGGAAUUAGGGUUCGACUCCGGAGAGGGAGCCUGAGAAACGGCUACCACAUCUAAGGAAGGCAGCAGGCGCGCAAAUUACCCAAUCCUGACAUAGGGAGGUAGUGACAAGAAAUAUCAAUACAUGGUUUUAUUCUAUGUAAUUGGAAUGAGGGAAUUUUAAAUAUAUAUUCGAGUAACAAUUGGAGGGCAAGUCUGGUGCCAGCAGCCGCGGUAAUUCCAGCUCCAAUAGCGUAUGCUAAAGUUGUUGCGGUUAAAAAGCUCGUAGUUGGAAUUUAGCCCAAGUCAACCGCGUCGCACCAAAUGGUGUAAUGCAGGGUGUACUAGGCUCUCUUCAAUUCCUAUAUGCAUUCUUCAGUGAAUGGUAUGGGUUUCGAAGCAUUUACUUUGAAGAAAUUASAGUGUUUCAAGCAGGUUAUACGCCGUGAAUAUGUUAGCAUGGAAUAACAAAAGAARACAUUGGUCUUAUUUUGUUGGUUUAUAUCACCAAUGUAAUAAUUAAUAGGAACAAUCAGGGGCAUUCGUAUUCGCUUGUUAGAGGUGGAAUUCUUGGAUCUUGCGAGGACGCUCGACUGCRAAAGCAUCUGUCAGGAAUGUUUUCAUUAAUCAAGAACGAAAGUUAGGGGAUCGAARACRAUUARAUACCGUCCUAGUCUUAACCAUAAACUAUGCCAACUAKAGAUUGGAGACUAUCACACUGUGAUGUCUUCAGCAUCUAAUGGGAAACCAAAGUCUAUGGGUUCCGGGGGGAGUAUGGUCGCAAGGCUGAAACUUAAAGGAAUUGACGGAAGGGCACCACCAGGAGUGGAGCCUGCGGCUUAAUUUGACUCAACGCGGGAAACCUUACCAGGUCCAGACAUAAGAAGGAUUGACAGAGAAAAAGCUCUUUCAUGAUUUUAUGGGUGGUGGUGCAUGGCCGUUCUUAGUUGGUGGAGUGAUUUGUCUGGUUAAUUCCGUUAACGAACGAGACCUUGACCUACUAAAUAACAUGAAUUUACGCCGUAAACGUUGUGUUUCUUAGGGGGACUUUGUACAUAUAGUGCAAGGAAGUACGAGGCAAUAACAGGUCUGUGAUGCCCUUAGAUGUUCUGGGCUGCACGCGCGCUACACUGACACAAGCAGAGAGUUUCCCUUCUGAAAGGAAUGGAGAAUCUUGAAGUUGUGUCGUGAUGGGGAUAGUUUAUUGCAAUUAUUAAACUUGAACGAGGAAUUCCUAGUAAGUGUAAGGAAAUAACUUGCGCUGAUUACGUCCCUGCCCUUUGUACACACCGCCCGUCGCUCCUACCGAUUGAGUUAUCCGGUGAACUAUUUGGACCAUCCUUAGGACUAAUGUCAUCUGGAGGGGAAGUUUCGUGAACCUUAUAACUUAGAGGAAGGAGAAGUCGUAACAAGGUUUCUGUAGGUGAACCUGCGGAAGGAUCA
rnacentral:rRNA from 1 species